UCUCUCUCUCUCUCUCUCUGUUUUGUUGCCUGAUUUCAAGUUCUCCACUCUUGUGUACAGUUAAUUGCUCGUCUUUUUAGCCAUAAUCUUUGUAUAAUCAUGGCUGUUUUAGUGUAUUUGGUGCUUUUACUGGCACUUGCUGGCCAUUCAAGUGCUGCUACUUACUGCUUAUGUAAGGAUGGGUUAAGUGAUGCAGCACUGCAAAAAUCCCUGGAUUAUGCUUGUGGAGCUGGAGCUGACUGCACUCCAAUCCUUCAAAAUGGUGCUUGUUACCAACCCAACAGCGUAAAAGAUCACUGCAACUAUGCUGUUAACAGUUAUUUCCAGAAGAAGGGUCAAGCUGUUGGGAGCUGUGAUUUUUCAGGAACUGCUACUACUAGUGCUAAUCCCCCUUCAAGUAAGUCCUGUUACCUCUCCCCCUGUGUUUUAAUCAACCAUCCAUCCAUCAUCCACAUGUUAAGUAACUGAUUAAUUUUCUCCUUCUUCUACCUUCUUGUAAUUUGCAGGUGUAGCUUCUGGGUGUGUGUAUCCUACAAGGUACCCCCUUUUUUGUUUUUCCCCAUCUGAAGAGAAAUUUCUCACCAUUAAAGCUUAGAUUCUCUUUGAAAAAAAGAAAAAGAAACUUUUAAUCUGUCUACAAAGUUCAUUUUUCUGGUGACGGGGAAUCAACAAACUGAUAAAUUUACCAAGAAUCUGAUUCCUUUCAUCUCAUCUGUUACUUUCUUACCAUAAACACCAAUAAUUUGUUUUGGUUUGCUUAGGUGAGUCCUGGUUGGUAGAACUGCCAAAUUUCCUUCAUUUGUGUGUCAAAAUUAUUAAACUUUGAACCCCCACAUAUUAGAUUUGAAGCGGGUUUAUCUUGCAUCAUUAACAUGUGUGUGUUUUUUAGCCUUUUCUUUUUCUUAGAAGCAUAAAGUAGAUCCAAAUCCUGCAUUGAUAUUUUUAUAGGCCACGAGGGGUCUUUAUAGCUGUGAGCUGUCAUGAUGUUGAUAUUUCAUAAGUUGUUUGUCCUUUUUCUUGUCAAUUUCUUUCUGAUUCCUUAUCUCAGCUUGACAUCUGUUCUCCACAAUCUCUCAUUUGUUUCCAUAUGUUAUGAUUUCCUGAAAUUCAUGUAUUCAUUACAUGCCCUGAAUCCUGAUAAAGUAUUUUGGUCAAUGGAUACAGGAUAAUUUGCUUGUAUGAUCAAAUAUUAUGCUGAGUUUUUCUUUCUCCUUUACAGCAAUACAGGGACAGGCACCACUGCCCCAACAACUAGCACGGGCACGGGCACUGGCACUGGGACAGGAACUGGAACGAGCACAGGCACGGGAACGAGCACAGGCACAACAGGAAUAACUCCAACUUUUGGUUUGGGCCCAGCAGGAAGUGGUACAAGCAUUGACAGUAAUGGUGGUGUGGCUCCCAUUGAAGGCACUAGCAUGUUCUUGGCUUCACUGAGCCUCUGGUUUUCAGGCCUGUUUUUGUUGUUUUGAGAAUGAAAGCUAAAAAAAUAGCAAGUGGGGCUUGAUGCGUGGAAGAGAUUUUGCCGUGGCAUGGAUGGGGCAUGUAAUUUUACAAUGGGAGGAUCAGCAAGAGGCGAAUAACUCCACUUGGGUUUUAGGUUUCUUUCCUCUCUGUUUAAAAAAGCUGGGAAUUUUGAUUUCCUAAUUUUUUUUUUUUUUUUUUUU
rnacentral:misc_RNA from 1 species